CUGACACCACUCCCAGGCAGUCACCCGAAGGGCUGUACGUGAGCGGGGUUCUCCUCUAAGUAUGUUGCCCAGUCCUCCUCAGGGUGCUUUUCUCUUUCGCUUGGUUGAAUCUUUCUGUGGAGGAAACUCUUUCUGAGCCAUUCAUACAAGGCUUGGUUGGAGCCUGUGUUUGGACAUACUCACACUCCCUCAGCCAACUCAGAAUCUGGACUAGAGUUUGUUCUGAGUAUUCUUCUGUCUGUAUCGAUUGGAUCAAAGGGAGAUUCAUCUGGAACCCAGCUGAAGUUCUUCCAGAUGGACAUCGAAUCACGAAUUUCAUGAUCUGAAAAGAGUGUCAAAGUCCAGUGCUUAAAGGAGUGAAAAACCAGGUCCCCUGGAGGUUUUAUCCACGCUCUGACAAACGUCUGUCACAAGAGCACAAACUCAGGACUAGCUGUUGGAACAGAUCUUUGACAGAUCACUCUUCUGCCUGGAAGCACCUGAGAGGUUAGCUUUCAUCCCUGGAGUGACUGGCUAGACUGUCACCACCGCAGGCCAAACAUUUCUCCGUGGACACCUUAGGCGACUCCAAGUGCAAGGAAUUGUGAAGCUAAAGCUGCAGCUCCUGUGUCAGGAGGUCCCGCGUCAGUCACGACUACUCCAGACUGCCCAUCUCAGCGUUGGAAGGCAGCUGUCUAGGCAAGACUCCAGAUGACCCCACAGAUCUGCUCAGUCACUUUGUCACCUCCCCAGUAACUCAGCAGUGACUGGUCCUAGGCAGGACUUGCUAUUGGUCCCUCUGUGGGGCCCGUGAUUGGUGGAAUUGUAACUGUGCUUUCACGGAUGCCAAUGCAAUCCUCCCUUUGCAUACCACACCCAUGCCACAAACAUCCCUCCCCCCCCAUUAUAUAACCAGGCUGUUGCGUUCACUUUCUGAACCAGCUAGGCAAUAACGUGGGGCCCUCCAGUGGGGUAACAUUAAGCCCUGCAAAAGCUUUUUUCAGGAUGGUCUUCCCUUGCCUGCUUGAGACUUCUGUUAUGAGUAGAGCCACCUAAAGCUGGUGAUACAAAGAGGAGGUGGGGGUGGAGUCAGCAGAGGAGGCAGCAGCAGCUGUCUGGAUGGUGCAGCAGCCUUGAUAGCCAGGAGAUGGCCGCUGAAGGGCAGAGAGCCAGAAGGAAUUGAGAUGCUGAAACAAGGUGAGAGGAAGCAGGAAAGCUCUGAAGAGCUGAGAACAAGAAGCUGCAGCUUCAGACCCGCUGAAGGGCUUCAGGGAGCUGCCUAGACCUAAGAGCCCUAAGAGUCAACGGUCAAGACACCCAAGGUAUGGGAAUUGGAAUGGCUCCACUUUUAGGAGCUAAGGGUCUUUAUAUACAGCAAACCUUCUGAGUCUACAAAGAGGUAUGGGUGCCUGAGCAGCCAGUCUCUCCGCCUUGUGGCAUCCAGUUCAGGACCCUGAGUCACAAGCUUCUGGUCCAGCCCAUGUAUGAGCCCUUAACACUCGAGAGCCCAGAACCACUGACUCUAAUUCAAAUAGGCUUUGUCUAUUUGCAAUUCCCACCUUGAUAGUGCCAAAGAUUUCCCAGCCAGAUGAUUGGUCAAACUCGAGUCAUCUUUACUAAGGCUGGGCGAGAGAUAUGGCUCAGUGAGUAAGGAGCUUACUUAACAUACACAAAGCUCUGGGUUUGAUCCCUAGCGUGGCACAACUAAAAUGUGGAGGUGCCCUCCUGUGAGACCAGCGCCUUGGAAGAACAGGAAAACCAUGAGUUCAAGGCCAUUGUAGAUACAUAGGGAUCUCAAUGCUAUCCUGAGAUAGAUGAGAUACUGUCUACAAGGAGGUAAGUAUGUGUGAUUAUUCCCAAACUGAUCAGCCAUGAUGGAUUCUUUAUUACAGGAAUAAAGUCACCAUUAACAUUUA